GACGAACGCUGGCGGCGUGCUUAACACAUGCAAGUCGAACGAAAAGGCCCUGCUUUUGUGGGGUGCUCGAGUGGCGAACGGGUGAGUAACACGUGAGUAUCCUGCCCUUGACUUUGUGAUAACUUCAGGAAACUGGGGCUAAUACCGGAUAGGAUCUCCUGCUGCAUGGUGGGGGUUGGAAAGAUUCGGCGGUUGGGGAUGGACUCGCGGCUUAUCAGCUUGUUGGUGGGGUAGUGGCUUACCAAGGCUUUGACGGGUAGCCGGCCUGAGAGGGUGACCGGCGACAUGGGGACUGAGAGACGCCGCAGACUCCUAUGGGCGGCAGUAGUGGGGAACAUUGCAGAAUGGGCCGACGUGUGAGGUAGCAACGCCGCGUGCGGGAUGACGGCCUUCGGGGUGUAAACCGCUUUGGACUGUGACGAAGAGGGAGUGACGGUAAUGGGUAAAGAAGCAACGGCUAACUACGUG
rnacentral:rRNA from 1 species